rnacentral:rRNA from 1 species
AGAGUUUGAUCAUGGCUCAGGAUGAACGCUAGCGAUAGGCCUAACACAUGCAAGUCGAGGGGCAGCACAUGAAGUAGCAAUACAGAUGGUGGCGACCGGCGCACGGGUGAGUAACACGUAUGCAACCUACCUUCCACAGGAGAAUAACCCGUUGAAAAACGGACAAAUACUCCAUAAUACAGGGGUCCCGCAUGGGAAUAUUUGUUAAAGAUUUUUUUCGGUAGAAGAUGGGCAUGCGUUCCAUUAGCUAGUUGGUUGAGGUAACGGCUCACCAAGGCAACGAUGGAUAGGGGAACUGAGAGGUUUAUCCCCCACACUGGUACUGAGACACGGACCAGACUCCUACGGGAGGCAGCAGUGAGGAAUAUUGGUCAAUGGAGGCAACUCUGAACCAGCCACGUCGCGUGAAGGAUGACGGCCCUACGGGUUGUAAACUUCUUUUAUACAGGAAUAAAGUGAGUCACGUGUGACUUUUUGCAUGUACUGUAUGAAUAAGGAUCGGCUAACUCCGUGCCAGCAGCCGCGGUAAUACGGAGGAUCCAAGCGUUAUCCGGAUUUAUUGGGUUUAAAGGGUGCGCAGGCGGAAGAUUAAGUCGGCGGUGAAAUUUUGCAGCUCAACUGUAAAAGUGCCAUCGAUACUGGUUUUCUUGAGUGUGGAUGAAGUAGGCGGAAUUUGUGGUGUAGCGGUGAAAUGCAUAGAUAUCACGAGGAACUCCGAUUGCGCAGGCAGCUUACUAGGCCAUAACUGACGCUCACGCACGAAAGCGUGGGGAUCAAACAGGAUUAGAUACCCUGUAGUCCACGCAGUAAACGAUGAUUACUCGCUGUUUGCGAUACACAGUAAGCGGCUUAGCGAAAGCGUUAAGUAAUCCACCUGGGGGAGUACGUUCGCAAGAAUGAAACUCAAAGGAAUUGACGGAA